GAGUUUGAUCCUGGCUCAGGAUGAACGCUGGCGGCGUGCCUAACACAUGCAAGUUGAGCGAUUUACUUCGGUAAAGAGCGGCGGACGGGUGAGUAACGCGUGGGUAACCUGCCUCAUACACAUGGAUAACAUACCGAAAGGUAUGCUAAUACAGGAUAAUAUAAGAGAUUCACAUGGAUUUCUUAUCAAAGCUCCGGCGGUAUGAGAUGGACCCGCGUCUGAUUAGCUAGUUGGUAAGGUAAUGGCUUACCAAGGCGACGAUCAGUAGCCGACCUGAGAGGGUGAUCGGCCACAUUGGAACUGAGACACGGUCCAAACUCCUACGGGAGGCAGCAGUGGGGAAUAUUGCACAAUGGGCGAAAGCCUGAUGCAGCAACGCCGCGUGAGUGAUGAAGGCCUUCGGGUCGUAAAACUCUGUCCUCAAGGAAGAUAAUGACGGUACUUGAGGAGGAAGCCCCGGCUAACUACGUGCCAGCAGCCGCGGUAAUAC
rnacentral:rRNA from 1 species